GACAGAGGGUGCAAACGUUGUUCGGAAUUACUGGGCGUAAAGCGUGUGUAGGCGGCCAAGCAAGUCGGAUGUGAAAGCCCCGGGCUCAACCCGGGAAGUGCACUCGAUACUGCCUGGCUCGAGUAUCGGAGAGGUUGGUGGAAUUCUCGGUGUAGAGGUGAAAUUCGUAGAUAUGGGGAGGAACACCGGUGGCGAAGGCGGCCAUCUGGACGGAUACUGACGCUGAGACGCGAAAGCGUGGGUAGCAAACAGG
rnacentral:rRNA from 1 species